CCUACGGGUGGCAGCAGUAGGGAAUCUUCCACAAUGGGCGCAAGCCUGAUGGAGCAACACCGCGUGAGUGAUGAAGGUCUUCGGCUCGUAAAGCUCUGUUAUUGGAGAAGAACGUACGUGAGAGUAACUGUUCACGUCUUGACGGUAUCCAACCAGAAAGUCACGGCUAACUACGUGCCAGCAGCCGCGGUAAUACGUAGGUGGCAAGCGUUAUCCGGAUUUAUUGGGCGUAAAGCGAGCGCAGGCGGUUGCUUAGGUCUGAUGUGAAAGCCUUCGGCUUAACCGAAGAAGGUCAUCGGAAACCGGGCAACUUGAGUGCAGAAGAGGACAGUGGAACUCCAUGUGGAGCGGUGGAAUGCGCAGAGAUAUGGAAGAACACCAGUGGCGAAGGCGGCUGUCUGGUCUGCAACUGACGCUGAGGCUCGAAAGCGUGGGUAGCGAACAGGAUUAGAUACCCGAGUAGUC
rnacentral:rRNA from 1 species